AUGGAGUCUGCACCGCACGUAAAAUUCCCCAAUCCAUUCCCAUGCGCCUCUCCGUCUCCCAGUCCCAGACGCCCGCAUCCACCGGAACCCAAGGCGACCAGGUCGACAUGCCGCGGACUCAGAGCAGUGUGCGGGGUGUCCGGGAGGAGAGCGGUUUCAGGGAUGGCUCUUCUUGGCGCCGCGAAUCUCCUCGCCGUGCCCAUGGCGGCGCAGGCAGCAAUGCUGGAGCCCGAUGUCAUCAGGUACAGAAAGCUGGACAGUGGAGUAAAGCUUGAAGAUGUAGUCGAUGGCGAAGGGCCGGUGGCUCGGGAAGGCGAUUUAGUGCAAUUCAACUACGUGUGCCGCCGUGCAAAUGGUUAUUUCGUGCAUAGCACAGUGAAUCAGUUCAGCGGCGAGAGUAAGCCAGUGACACUUCGACUCGACGUGCAAGAGAUGAUUCGAGGCCUCAAAGACGUCAUAAUCGGCAUGAAAGCCGGAGGCAAGAGGAGGGCUCUGAUACCCCCUGAAGUUGGCUAUAUCGAAGAGAGCUUGCAGCCCGUACCGGAGGAGUUUGGACCACGCCGGAGCCUACUGUCGCAUGCCAAGGAACCGCUGGUGUUUGAGGUUCAGCUGCUCAAAGUCCUGUGA
rnacentral:rRNA from 1 species